GUAAAGGGGUCCCGGUGUGAGGUGAGGGGGGGGUUAAACGAGGUAAAAGGGUCCCGAAAUGAGGUAAAAGGGGCCCAAAAUGAGGUGAGAGGGCCCUAAAGUGAGGUAAAGGGGUCCUAAAACCAGGUGAGGGGGUCCCAAAAUGCGGAAAAAGGGUCCCAAAAUGUGGUGAUGGGGUCCCCAAAUGAGGUGAGGGGGUCCUGGGGUAGGGUAACGGGGCGGGUUUGGGGUAAAGGGGGCUCAAAGUGAAGUCAUGGGGUCCCAAAAUGAGGAAAAAGGGUCCCAAAAUGGGGUGAUGGGGUCCCAAAAAAAGGUAAUGGGGUCCUGGUGGGGAAUGAGGGGGUUGGGGGAGGUAAGGGGGCUGUUUUGGGGUAAAAGGGGCCCAAAAUGGGACAGUGGGGUCCAGAUAUGAGAUAACGGGGCUGGUGUGAGGUAAUGGGGGCCUGAUAGGAGGUAAUGGGGCCAUUUUGGGGUAAAAAGGGCCCAAUAUGGGACAACAGGGUUGUGAUAAGGGGUAAUGGGGUUCUGUUUUGAGGUAAUGAGGCCGUUUUGGGGUAAAAAGGGCCCAAAAUGGGACAAUGGGGUCAUGAUACAUGAUAAUGGGGUUCUGAUAGGAGGUAACAGGGCCGUUUUGGGGUAAAAAGAGCCUAAUAUGGGAUAAGGGGAUCCUGAUAUGGGAUAACAAGGUCCCAAUAUGAGGUAAUGGGGCUGUUUUGGGGUAAAAGGGCCCAAUAUGGGACAACGGGGUUGCGAUAAGGGAUAAUGGGGUUCUGUUAUGAGGUAAUGGGGUCAUUUUGGGGUAAAAAGUGCCAAAUAUGGGACAAUGGGGUCGCAAUAAGUGAUAAUGGGGUCCUGAUAUGAGGUAAUGGGGCCAUUUUGGGGUAAAAAGGGCCCAAAAUGGGACAAUGGGGUUGUGAUAAGCGAUAAUGGGGUUCUGUUAUGAGGUAACGGGGCCAUUUUGGGGCAAAAAGGGCCCAAUAUGGGACACUGGGGUCCCUCUCCGAGCUAACCAUGCCCCGCUCCGAGCUAACAAUCCCCCAAAACGCCACAUUUUGGGGCCAAAACCCCCAAUUUUUGCCUCUCCCCCCCCUCCAGGAGCGCCCCCCGCCGACACCGUGGAAGUGGAGUGUGAGGAGGACGAGGAGGGCCCAGCGCACACAGGCGGCUCGGCGGAGCGCAGGCUGGGCCGCCAGGGCGCCCAGGAGCUGGACGGCUCCUCCCGGAGGGAGCAGGAUGAGGCCCCCCCUUCCUCUCAGCAGCCCCUGGGGCCCGAGGGCCCCCCCCGGG
rnacentral:lncRNA from 1 species